GACCUAACUUCACAUGAAGAUACCAAAUUUCCAGCUAGUGAGCCUCUAGUGCCUACCACUACUAUAUAAGUAUUUCAAGGCUAGACAAAGCAUCAACAUCUGUAGCUUCCCUGGGAUCCACAAAGAGGGGAACUUCCACAGGUGAAUAUACAGAAGCUGAUAUAAGUUUAGUGACUUGUUCAGGGUCAAACAGCUG
rnacentral:lncRNA from 1 species